GAGAGGAUGGGAGGGUGGGGUAAGGAGAGAACUGUGCUAAACUCUGCAAGAAGGCUCGGGGUAAGGGAGUGAGUGGAGAGAGGAGUUAGGGUGUAUUUUAAGGGAACAUCAGGCAGAACCUGAUGGCUUGGAUGUUGCAAAAGGGGCUGUGAGCAUUGUGAUCCCUCACUGAGCCAGUGCCUUGCUAUCUGAAAAUUGAGAAGUCACUCAGAAGAUACUGGUAAGCCUUGAUGGUUGGCCUGGCUGUUUCUCAUCCAGCAGGAGACUUACAGGAAAACUACAAACACACUUGAGCACAGGACUGAAGAGCUCAUGAGAGCAAAAAAAAAGGCCCAGCAGGGUGAGAACAUAGUGAAUGGAGAGACUGGCUGCCUGGAAAUUUGUCCUGAAGCCCCGGCUCCAGGACAGAUGGUUCUCUGGAGUACAAGCCACCAUGUUAUUGAUGCACAGAAAAAUAAUUCCAUGCUCAAACCCCAUCCUGAGAGCCAGGAGCAUGAUCUGGAGAUGCAGCUGCUCCAGAAUGGGGCUUGGGGCAAAUACUUGUCCAUUUAUAGCCCUGCAUUGUUCCUUCAAGCAUUUGAGCCUGCAGGUCAACCAUUACAGUCUCAAUGACAUUGCUGUCCAAGAGUUCUGUUUUCCUGGUCUCCUAAGUCAGUUGCUGCUCAUCCAUCUGUGAAGCACCUUCAGAAUUUUGUUCUUUCUACACGUUCUCCAAAACCUAAAAGUGUUCUGAAAAAUAAAGCCUAUUAAAAUAUGUAUAAUUAUUCUAACAAUGGCAUCUGGAAAUAGA